rnacentral:lncRNA from 1 species
AUGUCUUCCAAUGAUCAUGACCUAGACAAGAGAUUAUAGAUGAUUGAAGAGUUAAAGAAAUCAUAACCAUAAAAAGAAUAGCAAGAAGACAUAGCUAUAUUGUCGUAAUUCCUGUCCUCAGAUAUUUGCAGCCAUUUCUGAAAAGAAGUUAGGUAUAUUUUUCAUGAGAACAGCAACACCUCCUGCUUUGGGGCCUCAGCCUUUGGAUACAAACCCGCUGGACCAGUGCCAACACUAAUAUGCUCUGCUUCCUGCUGAAUGCCCUGGUUCCUGGACUCUGUGGAAGAAUCCUGUAACAGUGGCAAUGGUAAUGCAGUGAAAUAUGGUGAACUAGUUCUAAU